rnacentral:rRNA from 1 species
GACGAACGCUGGCGGCGUGCUUAACACAUGCAAGUCGAACGGAAAGGCCCUGCUUUUGUGGGGUGCUCGAGUGGCGAACGGGUGAGUAACACGUGAGUAACCUGCCCUUGACUUUGGGAUAACUUCAGGAAACUGGGGCUAAUACCGGAUAGGAGCUCCUGCUGCAUGGUGGGGGUUGGAAAGUUUCGGCGGUUGGGGAUGGACUCGCGGCUUAUCAGCUUGUUGGUGGGGUAGUGGCUUACCAAGGCUUUGACGGGUAGCCGGCCUGAGAGGGUGACCGGGAACAUGGGGACUGAGAGACGGCAGAGACGCAUGCGGGAGGCAGCAGUGGGGAAGGGUGCACAAGGGGCGGAAGCCUGAUGCAGCAAGGCCGAGUGCGGGAGGAAGGGCGGCGGGGUGGAAACCGCUUGCGCCGGUGAAGAAGGGGGAGGGACGGGAAUGGGUAAAGAAGAAACGGCUAGUUACGUG